rnacentral:rRNA from 1 species
CACGUAGGGCGCAAGCGUUGUCCGGAAUUAUUGGGCGUAAAGAGCUCGUAGGCGGUCUGUUGCGUCCGCUGUGAAAACUCGGGGCUUAACCCCGAGCCUGCAGUGGAUACGGGCAGACUAGAGGUAGGUAGGGGAGAAUGGAAUUCCCGGUGUAGCGGUGAAAUGCGCAGAUAUCGGGAGGAACACCGGUGGCGAAGGCGGCCUGCUGGGCAGUAGCUGACACUGAGGCGCGACAGCGUGGGGAGCAAACAGG